rnacentral:rRNA from 1 species
UCACCCUAGUGCUCGCCUCUCGUCUGAUCUCGGAAGCUAAGCAGGGACGGGCCUGGUUAGUACCUGGAUGGGAGACCGCCUGGGAAUACCUGGU